AGAGGUUUAAGUUAAAAAAACUAAUAGCCUUCAAAGCUUUAAUUGACAGAUAGUCAAUCUCUA
rnacentral:tRNA from 1 species